rnacentral:rRNA from 1 species
AUUGAACGCUGGCGGCGGGCUUAACACAUGCAAGUCGAGCGGGGGAGGUUGCUUCGGUAACUGACCUAGCGGCGGACGGGUGAGUAAUGCUUAGGAAUCUGCCUAUUAGUGGGGGACAACAUUCCGAAAGGGAUGCUAACACCGCAUACGCCCUACGGGGGAAAGCAGGGGAUCUUCGGACCUUGCGCUAAUAGAUGAGCCUAAGUCGGAUUAGCUAGUUGGUGGGGUAAAGGCCUACCAAGGCGACGAUCUGUAGCGGGUCUGAGAGGAUGAUCCGCCACACUGGAGCUGAGACACGGCCCAGACUCCUACGGGAGGCAGCAGUGGGGAAUAUUGGACAAUGGGCGGAAGCCUGAUCCAGCCAUGCCGCGUGUGUGAAGAAGGCCUUUUGGUUGUAAAGCACUUUAAGCGAGGAGGAGGCUCUUAAGGUUAAUACCCUUGAUGAGUGGACGUUACUCGCAGAAUAAGCACCGGCUAACUCUGUGCCAGCCGCCGCGGUAAUAC